rnacentral:rRNA from 1 species
UACGUAGGGCGCAAGCGUUGUCCGGAAUUAUUGGGCGUAAAGAGCGUGUAGGCGGCCAGAUAGGUCUGCUGUGAAAACUCGAGGCUCAACCUCGAGAUGUCGGCGGAAACCAUUUGGCUAGAGUCCGGAAGAGGAAAGUGGAAUUCCUGGUGUAGCGGUGAAAUGCGCAGAUAUCAGGAAGAACACCCGUGGCGAAGGCGGCUUUCUGGGACGGUACUGACGCUGAGACGCGAAAGCGUGGGGAGCGAACAGG